rnacentral:rRNA from 1 species
AUGAACGCUGGCGGCGUGCCUAAUACAUGCAAGUCGAGCGAACAGACGAGGAGCUUGCUCCUCUGACGUUAGCGGCGGACGGGUGAGUAACACGUGGAUAACCUACCUAUAAGACUGGGAUAACUUCGGGAAACCGGAGCUAAUACCGGAUAAUAUAUUGAACCGCAUGGUUCAAUAGUGAAAGACGGUUUUGCUGUCACUUAUAGAUGGAUCCGCGCCGCAUUAGCUAGUUGGUAAGGUAACUGCUUACCAAGGCAACGAUGCGUAGCCGACCUGAGAGGGUGAUCGGCCACACUGGAACUGAGACACGGUCCAGACUCCUACGGGAGGCAGCAGUAGGGAAUCUUCCGCAAUGGGCGAAAGCCUGACGGAGCAACGCCGCGUGAGUGAUGAAGGUCUUCGGAUCGUAAAACUCUGUUAUUAGGGAAGAACAAAUGUGUAAGUAACUAUGCACGUCUUGACGGUACCUAAUCAGAAAGCCACGGCUAACUACGUG